AUUGAACGCUGGCGGCAUGCCUUACACAUGCAAGUCGAACGGCAGCACGGGAGCAAUCCUGGUGGCGAGUGGCGAACGGGUGAGUAAUAUAUCGGAACGUGCCCAGUCGUGGGGAUAACGUAGCGAAAGCUACGCUAAUACCGCAUACGAUCUAUGGAUGAAAGCGGGGAUCGCAAGACCUCGCGCGAUUGGAGCGGCCGAUAUCAGAUUAGGUAGUUGGUGAGGUAAAGGCUCACCAAGCCGACGAUCUGUAGCUGGUCUGAGAGGACGACCAGCCACACUGGGACUGAGACACGGCCCAGACUCCUACGGGAGGCAGCAGUGGGGAAUUUUGGGACAAUGGGCGCAAGCCUGAUCCAGCAAUGCCGCGUGCAGGAUGAAGGCCU
rnacentral:rRNA from 1 species